ensembl:lncRNA
CCUGCAUCCAAACAGGUAUGCACAUCAGGUGGCCAACACAAGCAACGGCCACAGAGCCAACAGCAUCCACUCUUACAAAGAAAAAUCAAAGAAAAGGAAAAAAAAAUCUUACAAAGAUCCAGUCCAUUUUAACUAAACCUUCUGUUUAGUUUUGUGAAAUUAAACCACUGUGUUAAGAAGUACUACCAGAGCCUGGUUACCAUUCUGGGAGCCAGAGUCAUGAAGGAGGAAGGUGCCAAACACCUCUCACAGUGUAAAACAGCACAGCUCAAGCUGGAGAAGGACUUCACAGAAAUUCAGAGCCAAGGCAAGCUUAAUUCUCUACAUGCACAGGUAAGCCUGGAUAAAAACCUUUGCAGAGGGAUAGAAAAAAAACGGAAAGAUGUGGAUGAGUGGAUUAUUGGUGGUGGGGGCAUCAGACUCAGCCCUUCCCAGAAUGGCACCAAUGCUUGUUCCAAAUCCAUAAUCCCACACAUCUGUGCUUUUGUACAUUUAAUGUCGACUGUUACUUCAACAAGGUAUCAUUAAUCACUUACUUUGUUCCUGGAACACACUGAAGGAAGUCACAAAGCCUAAAACAUACUUCUUUCCUCAGGAAGAAUUUUGUUCUAGUUGGGGAGCCAAGGCCUAAAAUCCAGAAAGGUUAGAAAUCAAAAGAAAGCUGUUUACAGUCGAGGGCCCAGUGAGUGACAGUCAAAGGCACAGGGAGUGACACACUGUGAAGGAGGAUCACUAUGUGCCUGACAGGAAUAGAACGGGACAGCUAUACAGGUAUUCGGAGAAGCCCCAGUAGGGGCGAGAAAAAUGUCACCACCCUUCUACUGAUUUUAAUAAGCCCUAUGGUAAUCCUGAAGAAGAAGUGAAGUGAAGUCGCUCAGUCAUGACUGUGGCCUACCAGGCUCUUCUGUCCAUGGGAUUUUCAAGGCAAGAACACUAGAGUGGGUUGCCAUUUCCCUCUCCAGGGGAUCUUCCAGACCCAGGGAUCGAACCCGAGUCUCCCGCAUUGUAGGCAGACUCUUUACCGUCUGAGCCACCAGGGAAGAAUCUAAUAAGAAUGGUAAUCCUAGUUGACCUCAUAGGGUCAGACACUCUCCUGCCUGAUAUAAAGGAGGAGCUAGUGAUGUAAGCCUGACAUCUUCUUGAAUAAGGUGGUCUUUCCCCCUCCCCCACUUUUCUUUGAUUAUAAAAUCAUAGCCCAUUUAAUCGUUGGGGCAGAGCUCCGUCGCCUGCCCACUUGCAUCUCUUACAAGCACCCUAUAUUAAAAAAUCUACCCCUUGACUAUCACUUUGCCUCCGGCUGAAUUCCUUCUGUGCUGAGACACAAAGAACCUGAGCCUCAGUAAAUCUUAAGUCCCAGUUCAAGUUUUGGCCAGGUUUUAGUCCCAGCACAUGGGUUCAAGUCCCCAUCUGAGGUAAACAGUUUCAGGCUGAUGAAACAGAAGACAUCAGAACAAGUGAAGGAAGAGUAAGAGUCAUGCCAGUAGUGGAGACUGCCUGGGCAAACCUAUGGAAGUGAGGUGCUUCUCAAGGAGCUGAGGGAAACCAUGCAUGCAAUUCUUACGUCUUACUAACGGAAGACUGGAGCCCACUGAAGUCAAUGACUUGCUCAAGGAUACCCCAUGGGUAAGUGGCACAGUCAGAUCUAGAAUUCAAGGCUCUGGGCUAUUAGCUCAGUGAUGUACGCUCCCAGGUCCCUGCACAGUGGUUUAGUACGGUAACAUGAAAGGGAGAUUCAGGCCCUUGAACUCUGUGCUCUAACAGGCUUUCCCAUUUAACACUUGCAGCUACUCUACAUGGGCCUUCUUAUUGCCAUUUUAUAGCUCAGUUCAAAAGUUCCUGAAAUAGAAGACUUGCCCAAGGUCAUACAGCUAGUGAGAGUGGACUUUGAAUCCAAGUCUGGCUGUUUGUGAAGCCCAGCUUCUCUCUGCUAUGUCAACCUGGAGCCAAGGGUUUCCACUGAGAGUAAGAAGAAAGUUUUUAAACUGCUUCUUAUUAUUCCAUAGCUAAAUGUUGUACAAUAGAAAAGACUUACAGCUGUAUUCCAAUAUUUUACAUAUUACCUUUAGAGAGAGAGGUACAUUGUAAGGUAAGUGAGAGAACAUUGUUGGAGGUCUAAAAAGUCAGACGGGUGGCCUGAAAAUCAUAACCUUACUACUCAACUAUUUCAUAUUACUUUAGACUUUACUCAUCCCAAUAAAACCAGGAAGAAAUUCA